GUCUAUGGCCAUACCACCCUGAACGUGCCCAAUCUCGUCUGAUCUCGGAAGCUAAGCAGGGUCGGGCCUGGUUAGUACUUGGAUGGGAGACCACCUGGGAAUACCAGGUGCUGUAGGCU
rnacentral:rRNA from 1 species